rnacentral:rRNA from 1 species
UACGGAGGGUGCAAGCGUUGUCCGGAAUCACUGGGCUUAAAGCGUGUGUAGGCGGAUUUGUAAGUACCUUGUGAAAUCCCACGGCUCAACCGUGGAACUGCUUGGUAUACUGCUUAUCUUGGGCCAUCUAGGGGCGAGCGGAACAAACGGUGGAGCGGUGAAAUGCGUAGAUAUCGUUUGGAACGCCAAUGGUGAAAACAGCUCGCUGGGGAUGUGCCGACGCUGAGAUACGAAAGCCAGGGGAGCGAACGGG